GUCGAGCGAGAAGUCUAAGAUUGAAACUUCGGUCGAUUUCUUAGAUGGAAAGCGGCGCAAGGGAGAGUAACGCGUAGUUAUCUGCCCCAAGGUCCGGAAUAGCCUCGGGAAACUGAGGGUAAUGCCGGAUAAUAUCCCCGGAUCAAAGGCGUGAUUCCGCCUUGGGAGGAGACUGCGUUGUAUAGCUUGUUGGUGGGGUAAUGGCCUACCAAGGCGAUGAUGCAUAGCGGGCGUGAGAGCGUGGCCCGUCUCACUGGGACUGAGACACUGCCCAGACACCUACGGGUGGCUGCAGUCGAGAAUCUUCGGCAAUGGGCGAAAGCCUGACCGAGCGAUGCCGCGUGUGGGAUGAAGGCCUUCGGGUUGUAAACCGCUGUCAGUUGGGAGGAAGGCUCCGUGAAGAGCGGAGCUUGACCUAUCUUCAGAGGAAGUCCGGGCUAAGUUCGUGCCAGCAGCCGCGGUAAUACGAACCGGACAAACGUUAUUCGGAAUUAUUGGGCUUAAAGGGUGCGUAGGCGGCGCGGUAAGUGAGGUGUGAAAUCCCACGACUCAAUCGUGGAACUGCGCUUCAUACUGCCGUGCUAGAGGGAGACAGGGGUAAGCGGAACUGAUGGUGGAGCGGUGAAAUGCGUUGAUAUUAUCAGGAAC
rnacentral:rRNA from 1 species